CCAUCAGGACCGAUUAUGACAAGAGUGGGUAGGGUAGAAAGCUCAAAGUACCUAACCAAUUUCUCACAUUUUUUGUCUUUCAAUGGUAAUGAAAGCCACGGCAUGCUUCCAAAGGCUUGGUUGAAUGAUUCUUCAUCAUCAUCUAGAGGUAUCUGAACGAUCUCAAAUCUCUCUCCUUUGGCCUUCAGCUUCUCAUGAACAUCCAGUAAAAUUGGCGUGAAAUCAAUGCAUGAUUUGUAAAUGGACAAUGAAAAAUAUAGACCCACGGUUUUCCCUUCAAGCUCAGCAACAGGAACCUAGUUUGACCACAUGACUAGAUUAGUAAAAGAGGAUGGAAAACCGAAUCAUGAGCAAACGCGACCAUCAGUUUCAACUGCAUCAAAGAUCUUUUUAGCUUACCUUCUUCCCAUCAGAUGAAACUACGAAGUCACGAGACCCAUCGACCAAAAUAGAGGUCACUGAUUGGUUUCUCUUAGCAGCUUCUUCCUGGUCUUUCAAUUCUUUGAUGCGUUCUGCAGUGAAAGGGUGACCUUCCACUCCAUACUCGCGAACAAUCUCCACCCCACUAUCCGUCAAGACUGUACCAGUGCCAUCCAGAAACACAAGGUGGGGUAUUCCCCUCACCUCAAACAAUUCAUCCAAGCUAUCACGCUUCUCCGAGUCGGAGAACGGAAUUGCAAGCCACGGCAUCUUGGAAAAGUAUCCACUGAAGGACUCUUCAUCCUCAUCUGCAGAGAUGAAAAUGAUCUCCAGAUCACCUUUUGGGGAAAGUUCAUUGUACACCUCCGCCAGAGUCGGGGUGAACCGCUGGCACGGACCACACCACGACGCGGAGAAGUAUAAGCCGAUCUUCUUCCCCUUCAAGCUAUCAACUUUAACCUGAUACAGGACAAAAAGAUUCCUAAUUUGAGUUCUUUCAUAACGGUAAUCAGCAAGCAAGGCACACUAAUGUUAAUUGGCCACCUCACAAAAUCCUUAAAUGGCUCAUGAUACACCCAAAUAACCAGAGAAGCACUUCAGUUAAGCGCUCCUCAUUAAUUCAAUCGCAAUUUCGUAGUCUCGUCGACCAAAAUAACUAAACCACACUGAAGACGCAAGCAUUCAUACUAAAUCGAAUCCAUAUAUACUGCGUCCACGUGACUCUAUGUAUAAAUCUUUCUUCAAAAAAUCAUAAAUCAAUUACCAAUGAUCCAGUUUCUGAAGAAAACAAAUGGAUAGAAGUAAUCUUGAACUAAACUCGCUUAUCUUGAACCAAACUCGCCAGCUUGGCCAUCCCAAACCAACGGCUUCGGAAUCCCGAACUCCCGGCAAAGAACAACCAGAAAGAACUUCGGAAUUCGAAGUCCAUAGGCGCAAGAACCCGCAUCUUCCCAAUCCGACAAGAAGAUAACCGCCCAAAAAGAAUCAGAUCAACAAUUUCUCAACCUCCAGCUAACUUCGUCUCUUCAAACAAACCCAUCACCACCAGAACAAGAACCUCUCGCGCGAAAAUGGGCACCUCGCAAAACGACCCCCGCGCCCCAAAGAACACGACCAGCUUCAACAAGGACGCCGACCCACGAUUCUUUUUUCCCUCCUUUUUCCCCCCGAAAGAGCAGAAGCAAGCAAAAAGGAAAAGAACCGAGCCUCACCCGAUCGCCGUUGUUCCGGACGAGGAAGUCCCUGUCCGGAGAAGACAGCAGGGACUGCACAUCGUGCGAAGCCACCGCGCCGCCUUCGACAACAUCCGCCAUCCUCGUCGCUCGAGCUCCUCUGCGUUCCGGGCGUCUGCUUGCUGAACUUUGUUCUCCUGAGAAUCCCCUCCAAUGGCGGGCGCCUGCUCCUCAGUAUUUAUACGCGACAUGAAGAAGCUUCUCCGGCACGCAGAUAAUUUUCUUGAUUUUUUUCUUUUUAUUAUUAAUGACCAUUGACUCCUUAGUGUUUUUUUUUUUUUCAACCUUUUUUUUAUUUAGAUUUUUCUUUUUUCGGAUGCUUCCUGGGACUUUCCGAACCGCAAGCAAGGCAUCUCGGGAAGUGGGGUCCAUACGUGGGAAUGUCGCGGGGGAUGGAUGCCUUCGCCACGUCAGCAGAUCGAUGCCUUCGUUUUUUUCUUAUUUUUGAUUUUUUUUUUCUUUCGCCAUUCCUUACUUCCUUUCUAAGAGUCCACGUGUCCAGCAUCCAAGGUCGAAGUUUCCCCAGAAUUUUUCUUCUCGCCCGGUCGAUUCCAUAAUAAUGGCAUAAGUAUAUAGAAAGUCAUAAAAUUUAUCAUGUGAGUAUAAUCUAGUCUUGAAAUUUUCGAAAAGUACAAUUAAGCUUUCGUCAGGAAAGUGUAUUUGAAUUAUAAAAUUUUCAAAAAGCACAAUCAGAUUGGUCCAAUCAAAUCUUUCCGACAAUUGUAUUUUUUAAAAAGUUUUAUGACUAAAUUAAACUUUCGUGAUAAAUUUUAAGAUUUGAUAACACUUUGUGGAAGUUUUAUUACUUGAUUGUACUCUCGUAAUGAAUUUUAGGAUUUCAUUACACUUUUUAAAAAAUUUAGAAUUUAAUUAUAUUUUCCUAACAAAUUUUAGAAUUUCCAAUACAUUUAUCCCUAUAAUAAAAGUUGAAACUUUAAGUAAUUUGAAAUGUUUUGUUUUAUUUCACAAAUUUGCGUUUUGCCUUUUCCGUUAGCACGUGGCCGUCAAUUGAAAAACGAAAGCGUGCAAUUGCUCAACUCGAGUAGAUAAGCCUGAGAGUGUCAAUUCGCUUUUGCCUUGCUUAGAGAACAUUAAAAAAAAUUUGGUGAAAAGUCGUCAAAAGAUAAUGUUAUUUAUUUCUUUUCACUAAUUUUUUUUUUUUUUUGGGCGAUAUUGAAAAGUAUUAAUGGCCAAGAAUGUGGUCGGAAAGUCAAAAUGGGACAAAUAAGAAAAGCACAAAAAGAAAGGUUGGAGAACGUCGGUUGUCUAGGCGAGGACGAAACGGAUGACGUCGUCAAAGGUCGGAUGGUGACGUGUGACGCGAUUGCUCCUCGUUGAGACGCGGCACGUACAAAAGGUAUGGAGAAUAUUCCAUAGUUGAUGCUUCUUUUUUUCUUGGGGUGUGAGUAAAAUACAUUAAUGCAAUUGCUUACAAGCACAGUUCUCUAACCUUGACAAAAGAAAUGGUAAUAUAAAUUUAGGAUCUGACUAAAUUUUUAAAAAUUUAACAUUUUAAAAGAAAAAAAAACCUUAAAAAAAUGCUUGAAAACUCUCAUAAUUAUAAAAAUUUAAAAUUCGUAUGUCUACUUUCCAUUUAAGCAGUUUUUUCACAACAGCUUCAAUUGUGAAAAUGAGUUAUGCAACUCUCGCAAAAAGAUAAGUAAAUAUAUCACAAUCAUAGUUAUUUGCAACUUACUAUAACUUUUUAAUAAGCCGCUUCACUCAAUAUUAAGAUCUAUAGUUUUACAAAAAGAAUCCGUGCCACAAAAAAUUUUAGAGUAAUAUAUUCAUGAUUUAUUAUCUCAAAAUAAUUUUUAUACUGCCAAAGAAAAGGGUAAUGCUUUUUUUACUCCUCGUUUGGGUUGGACACUUUUUUUUUUAUUGUUUGACUAUACUAUCCGUUGUGAAGCCCACCACUUCUUAUACAACUUUACAAAAGUGAUAUUAUUAUUAUUAUUAUUUGGUAAUGCUUUGUAUUUUGUUUCUUCUUUUUUUUUUUUUUUCUGGGCAAGUCCCACUUUCCUCAUUCUUCUUUCUUUCUUUCUUUCCAUACCUUUAACGUCUUAGUUCUCUAUUCUUGCAAAUCGUCUUUCUAUUUUCUCUUUUGUAGGCCAUUGUCUUCUUUCAACGCCUCUAAUUCCUUCUUUAUCUUCUCUCAAAAAUCUCUCAUGCAAUUGCAAUCUCCAAAAAAACUACUUACUUCAAUACCCAGACAGAUAUUGAAAACUGAAUCAAAUUAAAUUAUUAAUUCAAAUCUCAAUUCUUAUUACCUAAAAGAACACAACUCACCUAUUGCCCUCAAUUUUAUGCCUACAUAUGGUGGAGACACUAUAAUUCAAAUCUCAAUUUUCUUUCUUGACGCCUUUUCUUUCUCUAGACACUAACAUGUACAAAAAGAAGAGAAAAAUAUACAAAAAAAGGAAAAGAGAGAAGCAAUUCUUUUCAAUAUUACCUUUCAUGGUGCAAUAAGAUCGUGUGUACGGUGGAGAAAAAGAGCUUGUUGGAGUGGUCAUUGGUGAACCCAAUGUCGGCGCUAGUGAAAGUGUAAAGGACAACGAGCUUGUCAUCAUAGAUUGAAAAACAGAGGACGAUGGGGUUCAUGCAAGAAGACAAAGAAGGAACAGCGGGAGGCGUAAAAAGAAAAAAAUGACCAACGAGAGAGGAAACAAAGAGACGAUUUAUAAAAGCGGAUACUGAGAUGUCAAAUGCAUGAAGAAAAGAAGAAGAAGGAAAAUGGGACUUGCAAGAAAAAAAGAAGAAGAAACAAAACUAAAAAUAUUUACCAAAUAAUAGAAAAAGAUCGCUAUUAUAAAGUUGUAUUAGAACUAAUUCUCAUAAGGGAUGGUAUGGUCAAAACACACACAAAAAUGAAGUGUUUAAACUAAAAGAAGAGUGGAAAAAGCAUGGCCUCAGAAAAAAUUCACAUCACUAAAAUCUCACCUCGUAAAACAUGCUAAAAUUUGUUAAUUUUACACAAAAGAUCCCUUAUGUUUCAAAAAUAUGUCAAAAUCCUUAAUUUUUCCUUGAGCCUUUGGCAAUUUAAGAUGGAAGGAGGGAGGAGGAUCAUAUUUCGUUCCUAAUUUCUACUCUCAAUUCAUUUUCUUUCGAUCACACUUCCCCAAAAUAAUAUCAUUGAAAAAACUCAUUUAUAUUAAAUCAUCAAGUUAGAUUCAUAUUGUAUCCCGAUCAUCUUAAUUAUUUAUUAUGCGUGUUUCAACGUCAGCAAUUUAAUGGGAAUAUUAAACAGAAGUUAACGGAUGAUAAAUUUGUCACGAUUACAUUAAUUUCAAAUUUUUCAUAAUGUGAAAAUCAAAUUUAAGAACAGUAAUAUGGACAGGAAAUUUUUAAUGGUAUUGAUCCGCACGACAUAUCACAUCAUGCCACCUCAACAUUCGGUUCCAAACUGGCUUUUCAAAAAUUUCGAAAAGACCGAGAAAGUCUAGGCCAAAGUCUUCGCGAAUUAAUAAUUGCCGACAGUGCUGAUCCAGGGCAGGUCGUCCUGGGAAGAUCAGAAUAUGAAACCUCAGUAGUGCACAGACAUUGAGAAAAAAACCAAGAAUAUAAUCAUCAUUGUCUUUUUCUUGCGUUUGUUCGGAUUCCCCACUCCAAAGCCACGUGUCCUUUAUUUUAUUUUUUCUUUUUUCCUAUUUUUUUCUUUGCAUUUGCUUCGAAUAUCACUUUGAUAUGAAUGUCGCCUUUAACUUUUUCUCUUUGCUCGUUAAAUCUAAGUACAAAAUAAUUGCUAUUUAUAGUCACCUGCAACUUUUUAAAAUUUUUCUCAUUCGAAUUUUCUUUUUUAAUUCAAAGAGUGUUCAAGAAGAGCUUUUUGCUUCACUUAAAUCCAUCGACGAAGUGGAAUAAAUUCAUUUAUAGUCCGAUAAGCCCUCAGUAUAUCUAAACUUUACCCAAUUUUCUAAUGAAUUUUUAAAAACUCAGUUUCCUUAAAAAUCAUAAACAUUAAGGGUAUGUUCGUUCAUGAUAAAGGAAAAUAUUUUCUAUAAAAUAACUUUCGAGUUUUUAUUUGUUUAGUGCUUUAUAGAAAUUGAUUUUUCUCUUGUUAGAAUAAGAGGCCGUUUUUCUUCCAAUCCAAGCAUGGUGAUGCUUUUGAUAAAUUAAUUAGUUUUCUGUUAUCCAAAUACCACAAAGUCUGAUAAUAAUAUUUAUAAAAAAAUGAUUUUUUUUCAAGCAAACAAUCCUAAGGUCUGUCCCAAUUCUACUCCGAAUCUUUUUUUUUUCAAAGAAAAAUUAUCAACUUUCACUUAAGUCCCCAAUUAACCCUCUGUCCAAAUGUCACUCAUUUUUUCUUUAAAAUCAUCAACAUCAUGAGGCUACUAUUAUUUUAUAUGAAAGUGAGGGUGUUGAUAAAGAUGUAGAUUUUGAUAAUGAAGAUUGAAAUGACCUUGAUGUUGAUAAUAUCAAAGAAACUAGUAGCAAUUAUUUUAUGUCUAGGUAGAUUUAGGACUAAAGUGAAAGUUAGUAAAAUAUCUUUAGACAAAGGAAGUUCGAGACAAAAUUGAGAUUAAAUCUAAAGUUUGAGAGUUUUUAAGGGUAUUAGGACAAUAUCUGGAGGGUCAGCUCACUGAUUUUUUAAGUCCCAUAAUCACUUACCCCGCCACAUCUCGUCAAACUACAUUUUGGAGAAGCUCGAAUUGCAAAAUAACUAAAAGGCCCAACUAUCAAACAAAGCAAAUUAGGUUUCAACAUCUUGUUUUGUUUAUUGAACUGGGGCUAUUGUUAGCUAAUUUAUUGUGUCAUGAAACAAUUUUUUUUUAAUCCUUUUCCCUUUAAUGGAAUUAAGCACCGUAAUCAAUGAAUAGACGGAGCAACCUUCUUAAACUUAAAAACACAUAAAAUAAGGAUCACAAGGGGACAUAAAUAAUUUAUGUUAUAUAUUCCCACUUCUAAAAAGAUGAUCUCAAACAAAUGAAAUGACAUGUCAAUAGUUGUAUGUGUUAAAAUAUUUAUAUAUCAAAUCACGUUUUCAUCGAAUAAUUUAAUUUUCUAAAAUUAUUGGUACAAAACCUAUUCAUGAUAUCAAAGUAGAAGGUCUUGUAUUUAAAUAUUUACUUGGUCCAAAAUCCCACCGUGCGCUUAUUAUCCUUCUUCAGCUUUGCUGAUUUUUAUUUAUUUUUAACAAUUUAACCAUGACUUUCUAAUUUACAUAGAUCAAUAUAUUUUUAUUUGAAAUUUCUUAUAUAAUUGUUUCAACCCUAACAACAAAAUGUUCUUGUCUAAAAUCAAUAUAAAUAUAGCGUUAAUAAGGUUAUAAUAUUUUACCCCAAAAAAAAAAAAGUAAGCACACUAGAAGUCCUAAAAUUUAUUGCAAAAGCGCAAUUGAAUUCUAAAAUUUUUAGUGCAAUCAAGUCCCUUGGUUAAUUUUGUCUAACUUAGCUAAUGGAAAAUGUUAGCAUAGCAUUUUUACUAUUUUUUUCUCUCCUACAUGGAGCUAACGUAGUCAAAACAAAAAUGAUAAAGCUAAAAAGGUGUUAUUUUUAUCCAAAUUUGAUUUCUUAAUUUAAAUGUUAUUUAAGAUUUCAAGUGCACUUACCGUACAAAGAAAAGUAAAGCCUUACGCAUGACAAUUUUUAAAAUUGUGAUGGAGCUAUGUCUUCAAAAGGAUAAACUUCAACCACUGGUUCAUUUUCUUGAUUAUGAUUCCGCCACAGUAAAUCGCAUGGGACUCCAAACAUUUCUCGACAUUCUAGACUCGAUCAAAAUCUAUAGAUUUAGGUUUAGUCUUGAAUCGCAGUUAAUGCCGACAUUUCUUUGUCCUUACCAAAGAAAGAGAAAAAGAAGUGUGGAAAUGUUGAAAUUGAAGUCUUUGAAUGUACCAAGUUCCAUUUUCUGCUAAAGAAGGAAGGAACAUUCGAAGUCAAAUGUACUGGUUCAAUCUGCAAAUUUUACCUCUUCGACGAAGUGGAAGAUAUAUGAACAUCAAGUCUCAUGCUCUUGACAUUUACAUUUGAGUUUGAUAUAAGGGGAAGUUGAAUUAAUCCAUCUUCUUUCCCCAAGAACUAGACAUUGCUCACAGGUGCUAUUUCGUGAACGAGAGCUGCACAAUUCGGCCUAGAAAAGCCGACAGUUCUUGCAAACCGAACUGCUUCUAUAAGCAUGUAGUAUCACUAUUGAGUAUCAGCAAGGAACUACUUUUGCAGCACUUCUUCUGUCUUGUUUCUUACGAUCGCUCUUCCUUAAGAAGACUAGCAAUAUGCAUUCCGGGAGCAUGGGAUCAUCAAGCAAGACUUUGGAGAAUUAAUGCGGGAUGAUUAACUUUUCAUUGCCACAAAUUAUAUCAGCAUAUCCAGAUGUAGAGUCACCAUCUGCUGAUGUAACGGAGGACCUAUUACCAUAACCAUAAACUGAACAAGAACUAACCACUAGGACUUGAGGAAAGAUCCAUACAAAGUGUAUUGAUUAAACAUGUUCUGUCAAGUCCAGUGUGCAUGCAAAUCUCGAAGCUGCAUCAUCAAAAGGAGAGACGGAGACACUUGCAUGACAAACGGACAAUUCAAGCCUACCACUCUGUUUGGCACACGGCUAGUCGACGAUGAACAUUAUAUCACGACAGCAAAUUGUCAAAGUCAUAAUACACGCCAUAUAUCUCACAUACAAACCCUUUGCAGAUCAAGCUCGGAAACAUCCACCCAGAAAAAAAGAAGAAAAAAGAACUGCUUCAAAGAAGUCAUAUAUAAAGAAACUACAAGACAGUAACUUCUAGGCCUUAUAACAGACCUCACCAUCACAGAUUCAUCCCUCUUUGGCAUCUCCUCCUUCCUCUGCUUCCUCCCCAGCUGCUUCAGCAUCUUCAUCUAACUCGUUUUUAGUCGUUUUCUCUUCUUUAACAGCGCAUUUUGGGUGGAGAUCAAAGUCACACUCCUCGCAAUAAUACGACCACCCCUCCCCUGCCUUACCGCAGCCAUCACAAUUGUACCUUCUCCUCUGAGCAGGAACGAGCUCGUGCUUUUCAUGCAAAGGAUGCUUCAACUUCUCUGGCCAGCCUUUUAUACUUUCCUUGAACUUUUCCUCAAACUUCUUGAGAUGUUCGGCAGUAAAAGGAUAAGCAUCAGCCCCGUGGUCCAUUAUAAGAUCCCUUGCUUUUUUACUCACCGUCCGGCCCGUUGGGCCUAUGGCUACAAGCAUGGGGAUCCCCUUGACCUUGAAUCUGCGACUCAGGAAUUUCUUCCUCUCAUCACCAAAGGGAAGCGCCAGCCAUGGCAUCUGAGCAAAAUAAUCGUCGAAGGCAGUUUGGUCCUUGUCGCUGGAGAUGAAGAUCACCUCAAAGGCAUCGUCUGUGGCCUUGAUCUUUUCGUAUGCCUCCGAAAGCACCGGCAGGAAUGCUCGGCAAGGAGGGCACCAGUGUGCCGAGAAGUAAAGGAGGAUAGUCUUCCCUACCAAGUCCGAUACUGGAAUCUGCAAUCAAAGUUAAGAAACGACCUUUUAGACGAACCACCAAUCAAUGGAGAAGGCAUGUGAAAACUGCAUACAUGGAAAGAAUUUUCCUAGUUAUGGACCUGGUUUCAAUCCUUUCCUCAGAUCAAGUAACCGAGGGACAACAAUAUUUAGGACCUCAUUGUAGACAUUAAAAAUUUCCCCAGUCAUUAGCUUCUAGGGGAAAAAACAAAUUUACCUUGGUUCCAUCCUUUCCAAUGACGAAAUCCAGAUCCCCUGAAACCAAGAUCGACUCCAAGGUCUGAGAUUCUUCCCUUUUCUUCUCUAUCUCUGCAAGCUCUGCAAACUUUUCUGGAGUGAAGGGAUAAGCUGUGAUGCCAUGCUCUUCGACAGUUUCGGCAACGUUGGCAUGGACAGUCUUCCCAUCCUGACCGAUAAUGACCAGAGUGGGUAGGGUCGACAGCUUAAAGUACCUCACCAACUUCUCGCAUUUCUUGUCUUUGAAUGGUAAUGAAAGCCAUGGCAUGCUGCCAAAGGAUUGGUUGAAUGAUGCUUCAUCAUCAUCGAGAGGUAUCUGAACGAUCUCAAAACUCUCUCCUCUGGCCUUCAAUUUCUCAUAAACCUCCAGUAACUUAGGCGUGAAAUCGACGCAUGCCCUGUGCACGGACAACGAGAAGUACAGACCCACUGUUUUCCCUUCAAGCUCAGUAACAGGAACCUACUUUGGCCACAAAACUAUUAGUAAAAGGAGGAUGGAAAACCGAAUCAUAAGCACAUGCGACCAUCAGUUUCAAAUGCAUCGAAGAUCUUUUUUAGGUUUACCUGAUUCCGAUUGGACGAAACUACGAAGUUACGAGAUCCAUGGACCAAAAGAGAGGUCAAUGAUUGAUUUAUCCUGGCAGCUUCUUCCUGGUCUUUCAACUCUUUGAUACGUUCUGGAGUGAAAGGGUGACCUUCCACUCCAUACUCACGGACAAUCGCAACUCCGCUAUCUGUUAAGACCGUACCUGUGCCAUCGAGAAUGACAAGGUGGGGUAUCCCCCUCACCUUAAACAAUUCAUCCAAGCUAUUGCGCUUGUCCAAGUCGGAAAACGGGAUUGCAAGCCACGGCAUCUUGGAAAAGUAUCCACUGAAGGACCCUUCAUCCUUAUCUGCAGAGAUAAAAAUGAUCUCCAGAUCACCUUUUGGGGAAAGUUCAUCGUACACCUCCGCCAGAAUCGGGGUGAACCGGUGGCACGGACCGCACCACGAUGCAGAGAAGUACAAGCCAAGCUUCUUCCCCUUCAAGCUAUCGACCUUAACCUGAUAUAGAACAAAAAGAUUCCUAAUUUUAGUUCUUUCAUACGGUAAUCAGCGAGCAAGGCACACUAGAUCACUUGACCACCACACAAAAAUCCUGAAAGUGCUCAAGAUACACAUCCAAAUGCCAACUGCAGAAGCACUUCCCUUAAGCACUGCUCAUUAAAUAGUUAGCAAAUCAGCAGUCUUCUCCACCAAAACAAGUAUACCACACAGAAGGUGUGAGCAUUUACACUAAAGAGCAUUACUUCAUAGCAAUAUCGGAUCCAUAUACACUGCUCCCACCUGAUCCAACUCCAAGUAACAUGUCUUUCUCUAAAAAGUAAUGCAUCAACUACCGAUCAUCCAGUUUCUGAAGGAAACAAAUGGACAGCACUCGAAAAUGAUGAUCCUAGAUCAGACCAACUUUAGCUUCUCUUGAACUAAAUUUAAAAACCGAUCAGCGAAACAACCCCACACGAAGACGAAGGCCACGAGAACUUCGACAAGGACGCCCACCCAUAAUUCUUUUUCUUUCACCUCAUCCAGCGAAAGAGCAAGAGUGAAAGAAGAGAACUGAGUUUCACCUGAUCGCCGUUGUUCCGGAUGAGGAAGUCCCUGUCCGGAGAAGACAGGAGGGACUGAACAUCGUGAGAAGAAGCCCCGCCUUCGACAACGUCCGCCAUCCUGGUCGCGUUCGUUCCUUGUGUCCUGUUCUCGUGUCUCUGCAGAGAGUCUGCCUGAGAAUCCUCCUAUGGCGGGCUCCUGCUGCUCUGUUUAUAUACAUAAAGAAAAUCCCGUGCAAGCACAUAUAUUAUUUAUUUUUAUUAAUAUUAUUAUUACGAUUAUUUGCUCUUUAAUUUUCCCUUUUUCUAUAUGUAUAAAUAUAUAUAUAUAUAUAUUAUUUUUUUUUCGGUUUCUGGAUGCUUCCUUGGACUUUUGGGGACGGCAAGGACGUCAAGGACGGUAGGAAACACGUGGACACGCAUGAUAAAUCUCAGUCUCCAUUUUCUUAUUUUGUAUAUAUGUUUUAAUUUACUACCUUUUACCUUUCCUUGCUUCCUACGCUUCCGGUAAGCGGUGUGUUUGGUAAUCAUUCUGUUUCGAGUAAUACUUUUUUAUGAGAAAUGAUUUUUUUUUCUAUUUCUGUUAUUGGGAAUAAUUUUUGAACAAAAAAAUGUAUUUAGUAACUUACCAAAUAUUAUAUUCUCGGGAUAAAAAUACGUUUGGUAAAAUUCUUAGAUUUUUUUUAUUUCUUUUAUUUUUUUAAUUAUUUUACUAUUUAUUCUUAUUUUUUCCUUUUUCUUUUUUCUUUUUCUCUUUGGUUGGUCACUGGUGACUGCCGUGGUCGGCGACGUCUGGCGUGCUUGCCAAAGUCUCGCUAGGCCAAGGUGAGGCUCGACGAGGCUCGGCCUCACCUAAGCGGUGCAAGGGUUGGCCUCGUGUCAGCAAGGGAGGCUGAGCCUCGUCGUGGCUUGGCGUCUUCGAGAGUUAGCGACGCUCCGGCAAGGUCAUCGGCCCUCGUCUGGCCGGUUAGGCCGGCGACUGGCAAAAUGAAGAAGAAGAAGAAAAUAAAGAGAAGAAGAAAAUAGAAGAAAAAAGAAGAGAGAAAAAUUGAUUCUAGAAAUUGUUUUGAAAAAAGUAAAUCACUUGAAAAAUAUUUUCUUAAAAAUAAUCACUUGUAUCGCUUACAAUAAUGAAUAAGUGAAAAAAUAUCUUUAUUGUCCAUGAAAUUGUUUAUUUAUAAAUUAUUAUCGAUUUAACUAAUAAUUUUAAGAGAUAUAAGUGAUGAUUUUUAGGAACAUAUUUUCUAAAUCAUUUAUUUUUAGCAAAAUAAACUGAAUUUUAGAUUGCAUCUUAUUAGUUAUAGAAUUUAACUCAUGACCCAAAAUAAAAGAAAACUCAUGAAUAAUCCUAUUUCAUACGGUUUAAUAUUCAUCAUGCAUGCCGUCUAGCGCUUAGGGACGCGCAGGAAAGUUUGGGAUGGCUGGGACACGUCAGCAAGUCGGCUUUAUCUUCUCAUUUUAUUUGUUAUUUGACCCCUUGACCGUUGCUUGCUUCCUCCACAAGAAGUUCAUCUCGAAAAAUUAAAGCUUGACAAAAUUUCGUUUUUUUUACCCUCUCAAAUUUUUAUAUAAGUUAGAUUUUAAAAGCUUGACAAAAUUUCCUCUUUUUACCCUCUCAAUUUUUAUAUAAUUAGAUUUUAAAUUCUUUUGAGAGCUAAAUUGCAUUUUUGCCUUUUUAUUCGCGCAUGGGUUGGCGUUAUGUGAGAAAUUAAAGGUAUGAUUGCUCAGGUCAAUUUUUAAUUAUAAUUUAGAUUUUUAAGUUUUGAAGAAUUUCUUUCUUAAUUUUUUAAGAAUUUCAGAUUUACCCCUUAAAUUUUUGUUGGUUGCCAAACAAAAAAUAAAGUUGAUGGGCCUAAUAAUAAAAUAGGGUAUAAAAUGGUAAAUCUAUCGCUACGAAUCUAUCUAAUGAAGAACUAAUUCCCUAUAAAAAAAAAAAAAAUUCUCAACUUUAGGUCUAGUUCCAAUUCUCUCUUAAUUUUUUAUCUAGAAAAAAAUCUAAAACUUUAGAUCCAGUCCAAAUUUGUCCCCAACUUUUAUUUGACUUAAAAAACUCAACUUUAAAUUCAAUCUUAAAUCUAUUUCAAACUUUUUAUCUUUAUCUAAGAGAAAAAUCAUCAAUUUUGACUUUAGUUUCAAAUUUGCCUCCAUUAGUCCUCUAUUCAAAAAUCAUUGUUAGUUGUCCGUAAUUUUCAUAUUCUAUAAUAGUUUUAUUUUGGAGAUAACUUUUCACGUCACCUUCCUAACGUGGAUCUCUUAUCAAUGUGUAAAUGCCAUAUUAAGUAGGGAUUACACCACGAGCCUAGAUUUGAAAAUAAAUUGAAAGCUGGUGAUUUUUUAGACAAAACAAAAUUCAGGUUUUGGGGUAUUUUCUUUAAAAAAAAAAAAAUAGAGGCAAAUUCGGGACUGAAUCUAAAGUUCGGGUUUUUUUUUUAGACAAAAAAAAUUGGAACAAAAUUACGAUUAGACUUAAAGUUGGAAAUGUUUUAGGAAAUUAGAUAAUUUAAUCAAGAGAAAAAUCAUAGACAAGAAAAAGAUAAAUACGAAUUCGUUGAGUUGAUAGGGAUAACUGAAGAAAAUAAUGCAAUUGAAAAAUGUAAAUUCCAUGAUAUAAGAAGUUGGCAAAAAUUAGGAUGAUAAGGCUGACUUGAAAAGGUAAGGAUAAUUUCUUUGCUUCGUCACGCUAACCAACCCAAACUUGACCACCAAGGAUAAUUCACUUUCCUUUGUUCUCUCGAGGCUCCAUGGAGCUCCAUUAUAAGCUAUUUUACCCCUUUCUUCUUCUUCUUCUUCUUCUUCUUUUUUUGAUCUUUCUAAACUUUACUAAUUCACAAUUAUUUAGCAUAUAUGAUCCACGAAGACUGUGAUUAACAACAAUAAAUAGCAACAAAACAGCCGCAUCAAAUAGAUGAAAAAUCUCGUAGCUUUUUCUUAAGCGAAACCUAUCAUUUUUCAAUCCUCUUUGAGCUUCAAUACCCAAAAGCAUCAAUUACAUUGUAAUGUUUAUAGCGGAGAAAUUACUAAAUCAAUCAUAAAUUUAUAAUACGGAUGUAAAUUUCAUCAUUAAUUUUUUCAUUUCUCAAGCCACUUCAAAUGAUAAUUCUAAAAGUUGAAAAUUCUACAAAAAUCCGAAUAGGAGGAUGAGACCGAUUUGCAGGGAGGGUGAAAAGGGGGGGAAUUAAAAAGUAUUAUGCGAAACUUGGUGACCAAGGAGGUGUUAUCCUUAGUCAAAAAGGAGAUAAAGAAGGAAGAACGUGAAGGAGGGGUUGGAAAAUGACCGUGCGCCUGACGUGUCUGCGCUGUUGGUCACAAGGACGUGUUCUUGCUAGUCAACAUCAAGGUGAUUGUCGUACAAAAAGCAAGGGGGGAUUCCAUGCCGGUGUUUCUUUUUCUUGGAAAAUUGGUGUUCGAUCUCAUCCUUAUUGGUAUUCACACUCUUUUGGUCAAGCUCCUAAGCAGGAACGAGGACAAAAAGCAACAUGAAAUUGGAGAUCAAACUAAAUUUUGAAGAAGGGAGGAGGAAAACUAGCAUUAUAAACCGAAAUCCAUAUGCCUAACUAGCAUUCGGAACAGAUUUCUGAACAUCUUCAACAGGUCCUCUCCUUCCUCUUUGUUUGUUUGUUUUGUUUUUGCUAAGAAAGUAAGUAAAUAGAUUAUUAGAAUGAAAAAAAAAUAAUAUAUGGGGUGCAUACUCGAGAGACUUGGUAAAAAAACUAUAAAAUAAUUAAAUAAUGAAAAUAAUUUUAAAAAAAAUGUAUAUAUACUUAUCAAGUUCAAUUGAGAAUUGGAUUGGUACUCACCAAUUUCAUUAGAUUGAAAUCAGGAUUUGGAUCAGUCCUCAUGGGAACCGCCAAUUUUGUACUAGUUCAGCCUGAUUUUGUGCCGUUUAGAUGAUUUCCGAUUUCUUAACACACCUCUAAUUGUGACUUUUAUAAAGUAUAUUGUAAAUACCUCACAGUUAUGGCUACUUUAAAAUUUCAGCACCCUUUGAUGACUUUCUAGGAAGCCACCGCAGCCAACAUUGAAGUGCUACAAUUUAUAAAAUAUGUAUUUCAUAACCACAAAAAGCCACGUCAUCUUAUACAUUUUUACCAAACUGGCUCUACUAAUUUUGAAAGGGAAAGACCAAGAACAAAGAGUCAACGUCAAGUCUUCGGGCAUUAAUUAUUGCCGACGAUACCUAAUCCACGACGGGUGGUCCUGGUCAAGCAGGCUAGAAAAACUCACUCUUUGCACGGAUAUCGUGAAAAACAGAAUAUAACACGUGUUUUUCAUUUUUAUCUUUUGUACAAUUUAUUUUCGAUUUGCUCUUAAUCCGACUUUUAUAUGGAUAUUUCCUUUUUACUUUCUCUUGUUCAUUAAAUUUUUGCAUCGAGUACAUAAAUACUGAUGCGUACCUGUAUUUUUCAAUCUUUUUUCAUUUCAAAUUCUUUUCAUUUACCUUGCUUGAAAUUUUUUUUGCAACUUUACAGUGACUUUCUACAUUUAUAUAUGUUAAUAUUUUUAUUUAGACUCUUUUAUAUUGUUGCAUCGAUUUCACUGGCAAAUUAUUUUGGUUAUGUCCUUACUUUUGUUAUCAACGUAAGUACAUUGUCAAUAAGUAUGAUAUACAAAAAGGGGGGAAAAGAAAUGGUGAACUCGUACCGACUCAGGAUUGGAAGGAAAAAAUACACUUAUCGAAGCUAAAUCGCCUGGUGCCAAUCGUGACCACUAGCUCAUACAGCCAGCUGCAUUGUCUAUUUUCGACAGCCGUGAAGCAACUUUUUAUGAGAGCAUCUUAAUCUCUCUUUCUGCUGGCAACCCACUUCAUCAAAUACUUUACAUGGCCAGCCCGACCACAUUUUUUCCCAUUACUUUCCUCACUGGCAAUGAGUUGAACUGAAUGAGUCUGGAAACGUCAAAGGUUUUGGUGGAAUGCUAGACUGCGUAUCGGAGGACAGUGUUGAACUGGAGGAAGUGCCUAAGGCUUGAGGAAGGCUCGUGUGGAGGUUGAUACCAGAGCUUUCUUCUUCUCCAUGGCUAGUUGGUUCCCAUUGCUCCACGAGGGGAUGCAAAAUAUUGACAAUGUGGCCCAUGUCCGGUCUCUGGAACGGUUCCUCAGCAGUGCAAUGACGAGCCAGCUCAGCAACUUUGAUUAUACUCUCUAAGGUUUCUUCAUCGGGGUCAAGAGUGUGGUCGAUAGCUUUCAGGAUGUUUUCCUUAUCGAUCAGAACUCUACGGAACCAAGUGACCAAGUGCGCCCUCUCAUCUGGCAUGGUGUUGUCUAAUGCUUUUCUACCGGUAAUGAUCUCCAUCAAGACAGCACCAAAUGCGUAAACGUCCACCUUUGUAGUUACCCUUCCAGUGGCUGUACGGACAGAAAAAGACCCAUACAAAGUUCAAUGCAAUUUCAUCGAUAAGGAAAAGAAAAGCCUCUGCUCAGAUUUCAUGUUAAGAGAAGCUAAAAGCGCCCCAAGAAUGGGUAACAUAAAGAAGUCACCCUUGGUUUCUAAUCAACAAUUUGUAGUCAGGUGAUUUCACUAUCCCCCUAAUGUGGAUCAGAGCAAUUGAAUUGACUUAGAUAUUUUAACAGCAAUCGUGCACAUUUGAGUUAAUUAAUGCGUGCUGAUCAAUGAGGUGAAAACAUAGAUAUAAAGUCCACUAGUUCGUCUGCAGGACUCCUAUCCAUUAUUACUACUGAAAGAUAUCACACUUAUGUAAUCUCGAUGAAAGAAACAAUAGAGAUCAAUUUACCUAAUGCAUAUUCAGGAGCUAAAUACCCAAAAGUUCCAGCCAACUGUGUCUGCAUGGAAUACUUCCCAUCAGGAACAUUUUUAACCAAACCAAAGUCAGCAACUUUGGCUCUCAUGUCAUCUUCCAGCAGUAUGUUUACUGGCUUCAAAUCCCUAUGGAUAAAUUUUUGUUGGGCUAAACUGUGCAGGUAUUCCACUCCUCUAGCAACAUCCAAAGCAAUGGUCACCCUUUGCUUCCAAGUCAGAGGUGCAUACCCCUUCUCUUGCCACUCGAACAGAUGUUGCGCGAGAGUCCCUUGUGGCAUAUAUUCAUACACUAAAAGCCUCUCAUCACCUUUGAUACAAUACCCUAAAAGCAUGACUAAAUGCCUAUGCCUCACUUUUGUAAGUACUGCAAUCUCAGCUUGGAAUCCCUUCAUUCCCUUCGUGCCCAUUGCCCCAGAUUCCAUUCUUUUAACAGCAAUUUUGGUGCCAUCAUGCAACUCCCCUUUGUAAACAACACCAAAACCACCUCUUCCUAAAAUGUUCUCUUCACUAAAAUUACAAGUCGCUUGUCUAAGGACUUCAAUUGAAAUUUUAACAUUUCCUCCUUUAAGAACGGGAAAAUCACUAUGGUCCCCACUGCUUUGGCUAUGCAAUUCACUUGGAAGCCCACCAUAACCAUUCAUACCAUUCCCGGCCCCAUUCUUAGCUACUUCCAUCCCAAUUUCCGGAUUGUCUACACUAUUAAAUUUCCUGUGUCGUCGGAUGAUGUAACGGAAUUUGUACAAGACAAGCAACACCACCACGAUGAAAAUAAGGACACCUACGACAACAGCAGCAAUUACACCAUCUGAAAGUGAAGAACCAUUUGACGAUCCAGGUGAGCCACCAUCAGUCGAAUUCGUCCCUGAACCACCGCUGCCUCAGCCACCAGUGUCCGUUUUACCAAUUAAUGGAUUACCAAUAGUAGUCAAUUUCACUGAGGCUGGGAAAACCGGUAUCGACCCAUUGAGAUUAUUGUUCGACACAUCAAGAACUUGAAGCUGAGUCAGCGUAGUCAAGCUUUCCGGAAUAGAGCCAGUAAGAUUAUUAUCGUUCAACAGCAGCGUGCGGAGCAAGGUGAGAUUCGCAAAUGCGGGCGAGAUGGUCCCACUAAACCCCCGCUUCGAGAAAAUAACAGAGGUCACAUUCUUCCCCUGGCAAGAAAUGGCACUCUAGCUGCCGUUGCAAGCAUCAUUCCCAGUCCAAGAAUCCGCCGGCGUGAUCGGAUACCCCAACGUACUAGCCACCUCAAGCAACGUAGUAACCUGUGGGUCGCAAGGGCCCGGCGCACUGUUGCAAAAGCUAUUGGUACCCCCGUAGGUAACGCUAAUUCCACUGCUAUUACUAGGGACGGGACCCUGCAACUUAUUGUUAUCCAAGGACACAUUCUUCAAGCCGGGGAGUGCCAACAGCGAGGCGGGCACAAGCCCAGUGAACUGGUUGUAGCUAAGCUGGAGAUCGAGCAAAUUAGUGCAUUGCGAGAGAUCGGGGAUCGGACCUGUGAACUGGUUGUUCUGGAGCCAGACCCGGCUCAGCUGGGUCAUCCCGGCCAACACGCUGAUGCCGCCGGAAAGCCCCAUCGCCUGGUUGUUGAUCCAGAGGUUCUGGAUCGAUGAAGUGCCGAAGGAGGAGGGGAGGGGCCCGGUGAGGUUGUUGUAGGAGAGACUCAGACUCAUCAGGCUAGGGAGGGUUCCGAGGAAGUCAGGGAUCGUGCCGGUGAUGUUGGUGUUGUCGGCGUAGAGGACAGUCAGGGACGUCGAGGCGUUGAGCUCCGCCGGGAUCUGCCAGGAGGGGAGGUCAUGAUUUUCGCUGAGGCUGAGGGUCUGGAGGCUGGUGAGGCCCUGGAAGGCGCCGGAGGUGAUGGAGGUGAAGUUGUUGCCGUCGAGGUAGAUGGACUGGAGGGAGACGAGGCCGGCGAAGGAAGGGACGGCGCCGGAGAGGGAGUUGCUCUGGAGGGAGAGGCUCUGGAGCUGGGAGAGGGAGGAAAGAUCCGAGGGGAGGGCGCCGGAGAGGGAGGAGGAAGAGAGGUUUAUGACGGUGACCCGGGAGGAGGAGUCGCAGCUGACGCCUGUCCACUUGCAGUAGGUCUGGCCCGAGGACCAGCCCGACGGCUUGAGGGCGGCGAGGAUCUCGGCCAUGACGGCGGAGUCGUCGGCGGAGACGGCGGAGGCGGCGAGGAAGAGGAGGAGGAGGAGGAGGAGGAAGGGGGCCGGAGAGCGGAGGCUCCCUGCGGCCAUUGUCGACGGCGUUGCUGUGGGUCGAGAGAGAGAAAGGCGUAAGCAGAGGGGGUGGGAUGCGCGGAGAAGGAAACAGAGGAAGUCGCGGUCGUUCUCUGUUUGUUCUCCUACGAGGCGAGAGAGAGAGAAAAACCCAGCAAAUUCAAGUGUCGAGAAGACUUUGCGGGAGUGUUACGUAUUUACUGAGGAGCAGGUCUUAUGAACAAGAGAAGGACGCGAGGGAGAGCGGCAUCACCCGGGAAAAUGGGGUCCAACAAUGUAGGAAACACGUGGACGCAUCGUACACGUCAGCAAAUCUCAGUCUCCAAUUUUCUUAUUAUAUAUAUAUUUUUUCGGUAAUUGAUAUAUAUUUUUUAAUUUACCCCGCUUUUACCAUUCCUUGCUCCCUACUCCCCCGAGAAGCCGCAUCUUUACCCUCCGAUGCUUGAAGUACUCAAAAAGAAUUUUGAUUUCAACCUUCUCAAUAUUAUAUUAUAACAAGUUAUGUAUUAUUUUUUUUUCAAAACAGUAUUUUAUUGAUGAGCUUGAGAAUUUUGCCUUUUUUGUAGGCACCCUUGCCUCUCUCCCUCCCAUUAAAUUUGAGAAAUUGGGGAAAUAAAAGAGGAAAUCAUUGGUGAAAAAUUCUAGAAGAAUCCGAAAUCCGCAAUGAUUAGGAGGAUGGGACGAAUUUGCAAGUAAUGUGGAAAAGGGGGAAGUAUAAUGCGAAACUCAGUGGCCAAGAAUGUGUUGUCCGUUAGUCAAAAUAAGAGAAUAUUCAAUUUCGAUGCUUUUCUUUUUUCUUGACUUUGCUAAUGAGAAAUCAAUUAGGAUUAAUUUUCAGUCAUUCUUUUAUGAUGUGAUACUAUCUGUUUGUUAAAUAAACAGAAAAUCCAGGAAAAAAAUUGAAAUUAAGGGUGUGUUUGUUUUGAAAAGAAUAUCACUUGAAAAAUAUUUUCUUAAAAAUAAUCAUUUGUAUUGCUUACAAUAAUGAACAAGCGAAAAGUAUCUUCAUUAUCCAUGAAAAUGUUUAGUUAUAAAUUAUUAUCAAUUUAACUAAUAACUUCAAGAGAUAUAAGCGAUCAUUUUAAAAAAAAAAUACUUUUUAAAUUAUUUAUUUUUAGCAAAAUAAACUGAAUUUUAGGUUGCAUCUUAUUAGUUAUGGAAUUUAACUCGAGACCAAAAAAAAAAAGGAAAACUCAUGAAUAAUCCUAUUUCAUAUGGUUUAAUAUUCAUCAUACAUGCCGUCUAGCUCUGAGGGAUGCGCAGGAAAGAUUGGGAUAGCUGGGACACGUCAGCAAGUCGGCUUUAUCUUCUCAUUUUAUUUGUUAUUUGACCCCUUGACCGUUGCUUGCUUCCUCCACAAGAAGUUCAUCUCGAAAAAUUAAAGCUUGACAAAAUUUCUUUUUUUUACCCUCUCAAUUUUUAUAUAAGUUAGAUUUUAAAAGCUUGACAAAAUUUCCUCUUUUUUACCCUCUCAAUUUUUAUAUAAUUAGAUUUUAAAUUUUUUUAAGAGAUAAAUUGCAUUUUUGCCUUUUUAUUUGCGCGUGGGUUGGUGUUAUGUGAGAAAUUAAAGGUAUGAUUGCUCAGGUCAAUUUUUAAUUAUAAUUUAGAUUUUUAAGUUUUUAAGAAUUUCUUUCUUAAUUUUUUAAGAAUUUCAGAUUUACCCCUUAAAUUUUUUUUGGUUGCCAAAAUAAAAAAGUUGAUGCGCCUAACAAUAAAAUAGGGUAUGAAACAUGGUAACUCUAUCCUUACGAAUCUAUCUAAUGAAGAACUAAUUCCCUAUUUUUUUUUUAAAAAAAAAAUCUCAACUUUAGGUCUAGUUCCAAUUCUUUCUUAAUUUUUUUUGUCUAGAAAAAAUUCUAAAACUUUAGAUCCAUUCCAAAUUUGUCCCCAACUUUUAUUUGACUGAAAAAACUCAACUUUAAAUUCAAUCUCAAAUCUAUUUCAAACUUUUUAUCUUUAUCUAAGAGAAAAAUCAUCAAUUUUGACUUUAGUUUCAAAUUUGCCUCCAUUAGUCCUCUAUUAAAAAAAUCAUCAUUAGUUGUCCGUAAUUUUCGUAUUCUAUAAUAGUUUUAUUUUGGAGAUAACUUUUCACACCACCUUCCUAACGUGGAUCUCUUAUCAAUGUGUAAAUGCCAUGUUAAGUAGGGAUUGCACCAUGAGCCUAGAUUUGAAAAUAAAUUGAAAGUUGGUGAUUUUUUUAGAUAAAAAAAAAAAUCGAGGCAAAUUCGGGACUGAAACUAAAGUUUGGGCUUUUUUUUAGACAAAAAAAUUGGACAAAAUUAAGAUUAAAGUUGGAUUUUUUUUAGGAAAUUAGGUCAUUUAAUCAAGAGAAAAAUCAUAGACAAGAAAAAAAUAAAUACAAAUUCGUUGAGUUGAUAGGGAUAACUGAAGAAAAUAAUGCAAUUGAAAAAUGAAAAUUCUAUGAUAUAAGAAGUUGGCAAAAAUUAGGAGACUGACUUGCAAAGGUAAGGAUAAUUUCUUAAACUUUUUUUUCAGACAAAAAAAAUUGGAACAAAUUUAAGAUUAGACUUAAAGUUGGAAAUUUUUUAGGAAAUUAUAUCAUUUAAUCAAGAGAAAAAUCAUAGACAAGAAAAAGAUAAAUACGAAUUCGUUGAGUUGAUAGGGAUAACUAAAGAAAAUAAUGUACGAUUCACUUUCUUUUGCUCUCUCGAGGCACCAUGGAGCUUCUUCUUCUUUAGAUCAUUUAAUCAAGAGAAAAAAUCAUAGACAAGAAAAAGAUAAAUACGGAUUCGUUGAGUGAUAGGGAUAACUGAAGAAAAUAAUGCAAUUGAAAAAUGAAAAUUCUAUGAUAUAAGAAGUUGGCAAAAAUUAGGAGGAUAAGACUAACUUGCAAGGGUAAGGAUAAUUUCUUAAUCUUUUUUUUUUCAGAUAAAAAAAAUUGGAACAAAAUUAAGAUUAGACUCACACAUGACAAAAUUUCUAUUUCUCGAUUUCUCUGUUUCUUUGUUCCCCGGAACAGGUUUGGAACAGAAAUCCGUUUGGUAACGCAAUUUGAUUUCUCUAUUUCUGAAAUAGAUCUCUAUUUCAGAAAUAGAGAAAUUGAAGAAAUCAGAAGCUGAAAUUUUUAACUUCUUAAUUUCUAAAAUAGAAAUCAGAAACUAAAAUCAAACCAUAUAAAAGAACCUUGCACUUUCUUGCUAACUUAAUUCACUCAUAACCACAACUUCACACAUUAUUGCUAAUUUUCUUUUUCUUAUUUUGCUCGUGUUUUUUUUUUUUUUUUGCAUUUUUUUUUAUAACUUCCUCUUUAUGAUGAAAGGCAAUCGAAUGGGUCCCUAAUUUUCAAAAACGAUCAAAGUUCUUAAAUGCUUACUUAAAAACGAUGGGGCUCUUUCCUCCUAGAAAAGGUACGGGUAUGGCCAAUUGAAGAAAAAGUUCUUACAUAAUAGAUGAAUAAAGAACGUGCCUAGAAAUUUAACCUUAUUUUUUUACGAAUUCAAAAUUCUUGCAAAAUCAAAAUAAUUAGAUUGUUACACAAUCUUGAAUUUUAAUUCGAAUGCAAAAGAUUCAAGAGAAACUCUCUCUUUGCUAUGCAAGGGCCAUUAAAGGUUCAUUGAGCAACAAUAAAGAAAUUAGGGAUGAGUAACUGGACUAAUUCAAUUCCAGAAUCAAAAUAAACCGACCUUCCCCCAAUUGAUUCCUAACCAUAAAUGUUACUUUAAGGUAGAAUUCUCUUAUAUUCCUUUACACCAUUAAUUUUAUUUUGUUGAUAAUCUUGUAUAAUACUAGUUUUUGAUAAAAUGACAAGGCUGUAUAGGCGUCAUUGAUGGCACCCAUAUUCAUGCUUCCGCAGUAUUUGUCUGAACCUACGUAGGAUGAGCUUGCAAACGAUACAUUGACCAAGGAGGGAAACCAAAUAAAUAUGCUUAGGAAAACAAUUUCUAAUAAAAUGGCAAUAGAUAAUAAUAUGCCGGAAAUUCUAUGAAAUUGUAUUUUCAACGUUUGUAAUGUAUUAGUAUUAUUUCGGCUAUUAUUUUGUAUUUGAGGAUUUCCUAUGUUAUUUUAGUAUUAUUUCGACUAUUAUUUUGUAUUUGAGGAUUUCCUAUGUUGUUAUCUAAUCAAUUUCUAUUCCUAGAAAUAGAAAUUUUGUUCUGUUAUCAAACGGAUUUCUGUUUUAGAAAUAGAAAUUUUGAGUCGUUAUCAAACAGGUUUCUUUGCUCAGAAACUUGUUCGGGAAAUAGAAAUUAAGAAAUUGAUUUCUGGCAACCUUAAAGUUGGAAAUUUUUUAGGAAAUUAGAUCAUUUAAUCCAGAGAAAAAUCAUAGACAAGAAAAAGAUAAAUAUGAAUUCGUUGAGUUGAUAGGGAUAACUGAAGAAAAUAAUGCAUGAUUUACUUUCUUUUGCUCUCUCGAGGCACCAUGGAGCUUCUUUUUCUUCUUCUUCUUUAACUGAAGAAAAUAAUGCAUGAUUUACUUUCUUUUGCUCUCUCGAGGCACCAUGGAGCUUCUUUUUCUUCUUCUUCUUUAACUGAAGAAAAUAAUGCAUGAUUCACUUUCUUUUGCUCUCUCGAGGCACCAUGGAGCUUCUUCUUCUUCUUCAAAUGAUAUUGAAAAUUCUACAAAAAUCCGAAAUAGGAGGAUGAGACCGAUUUGCAGGGAGGGUAGGGGGGAAUUAAAAGUAUUAUGCGAAACUUGGUGACCAAGGAGGUCUUAUCCUUAGUCAAAAAGGAGAUAAAGAAGGAAGAACGUGAAGGAGGGGUUGGAAAAUGACCGUGCGCUUGACGUGUCCGCGCCGUUGGUCACGAGGACUUGUUGUUGCUAGUCAAGAUUAAGGUGAUUGUCGUACAAAAAGCAAGGGGGGAUUCCAUGUCGGUGUUUCUUUUUCUUGGAAAAUUGGUGUUUGAUCUCAUCCUUUUGGUAUUCACACUCUUUUCGUCAAGCUCCUAGACAGGAACAAGGACAAAAGGCAACAUGAAAUUGGAGACCAAACUAAAUUUUGAAGAAGUGAGGAGGAGAUCGAUAACUCAUAGAAUUUGCAAUUAAGGUUUCCCUUUUAUCUAUUUUGUGAAAAGCAAAUAAUUCAAAAAAAAUUAUGAGAACAAGAAAUAUUUUCAUCGCCCACAAAUAAAAUUAGAUAUGAAUAAUUAUCGAUAAUUAAAACAUAUUUUAUUAGCUGAUUAUUUGGAGUGCUCAAUUUUAGGAACGUGUUUUUUGAAUCAUUCAUUUUUCACAAAUAAAAGAAUCUUAUAGACAUCUAAAGACAAAUCAUAUUCAUCUCAUCCUAGCAUAACUUGUAAGCACUUUGGGUGUAUUUGUUUUUGGAAAAAUUUCGUGAUAAAUGAAAAUGUUUUUCAAAAAAUCAUUGUUUACGAAAUUUUUUUACCUUUUCAGAUUAGAGAAUUUAUUUCCUAACUUUGAGCACAUGUUUUAUUAUUAUUAUUAUUAUUAUUAUUAUUAUUAUUAUUAUUAUUAUUAUUAUUAUUAUUAUUAUUAUUAUUAUUAUUAUUAUUAUUAUUAUUGUAAAUGGUUUUCGAUCAACUAAUCAUUUUUAACAAAUUAAAUGCGUGAAAGUUUAAAAAAUUAAUUUGUAAGAAAAUUUAAACAUAUACUCAUUGAUGUCCUUUCCUGAUGGAGCUCUGCACAACUAGCUGCGUUGCCUAUUUCUCCAAUUCAGUGGCGACCAAUCAUUGGGGUUUGCCCAGUGGCUACCCUUUUAACAUGGAAUGAGGAGACGGGGGGUUCAAAUCCCUAUCUUCUCAGGAGUUGGGGUGGGGACGAUUUAGUUUUAGGAGUGGGUUUCGACUCCCAUACUUUGCAAUGAGGCAGAGUAAAAGUCUGAGAGUGAGAGUUAGAAUAGAGAUAGAGUUGGAUUGACAAAAAAAAUGAAAUUUAGUGUCGACCCAUUAAUAUUUUAAUAUGCAUUAGCACGAGAUUUUCACCAAUUAAUAUACAACUCCCUGAAAAGAAAUAUUACUUUCUACAAAAGACAUAUUGGCCCUAAUCCCAAACAUCAAUUCAUUAUGGGGGCAUUCGUAUGGUGUUGAAGAACGAAUCUCCGGAUCGCAAUUUAUCGUAAAUAUUUAUUAUUCUUUCAUAAUUUUUACACAAGAUAUUGAAACACGCCAAAAAUUUAAAAGGGUUAAGGAUCGAUGGUGAAAAUCACUCCUCUCUAUCCUAUGGCCAUCAUUGGAUUUGCUUCCCAAGAAUCUUUUGAAACCUCUUUCAUUAUAAACCGAAAUCCGUAUGCCUAACUAGCAUUUGGAACAAAUUUCCAAUAAUAACUUUAGUCGCAAAAAAAAACAUUCUAACUAGAGAUGAGCAUAGUCCAAAUAGCCAAUUCCUACGUUGGAAUCAGAAACUAUCCACUAAAGACCGAUUUUGAAAAACUUGGAACAAGGAACCGCUCGUUGAUUCCAUAGAUCCACCCAAGAAUUGAUUCUCAAUCCCUACAAAGUUGCAUUUAUUAAUUUAUAUCAUGACAAACCUAGUUUCUAUUUAGAGCACCAAACCUUAUUCGGCCUUAAAUUCAGGUUGAAUUGUGAGCUAUUGAUUUUGAGUAGGGAUUGGGAAAUAUAGAGCAGAACCAAUAGACAAUACUCGUUAAGUAGGAACUCAAUGUCGUUAAAGGUCAUGAUGUGGUCUUCUUAGGGUUUUCUGACAUCAAGAACAUGUGGAGAAUUAGACUCUACGUUAGAAGUCCUAACCUCCAAAGAAAUUAAAAAAUUAAUCACUUGAUCCAUUUUUUUUUCAACAUCAACUAAUUUAAUCAAGGAAAUGGCUAAUGAGAGACCUAAUUAUUGAAUUUCAUAUUAUGACAAUAAAGCACCGCAACAUUUAUGGACAUCUCCAACCGAUUCUCUCCUUUCUCUUCAUUUGUCUAUUUUGUUUUGGCUAAGAAAGUAUGUAAAUAGAUUAUUAGAAUGAAAAAAAGAAGUAAGAGAUUAAUCCUAUUACACACUCAAAAGAUAAAAUUAGUCAAUAAUAUCCAACAAAUAUAUAUUGGUUAAAAAAAGUAGAAAAUAAUUAAGUAAUUGAGAUAUAAUUUCCUUUUUUUUUAAUAUAUAUACGUACUGGUCUAAUCCAAGUAGGCGAUUCCACGCAUGUAAUCGAGAACCAAAUCAAUACUCACUUGUUUUAUUAAAUUGGAACCAGGAGCCAGACUAGUUCCCACGGGAACUACCGGUUUUGUGCUAGUCUAGUCUAGUUUCAUGCAAUUCCCAAGUCUUUUGAUCCAUCUGUUUUCAACAUCAACUAAUUUAAUUAUACUCUUAAAAUGAGUCAUUGGCUCUUAAUUUUGUAUCAUGACAACGAAGUGCCACAAUAUUUAUGAACAUCUUGAAUAGGUCCUCUCCUUCUUCUUUGUUUGUUUGUUUUGUUUUUGCUAAGAAAGCAAGUAAAUAGAUUAUUAGAAUGAAAAAAAAUGGGGUACAUACUCGAGAGACUUGGUAAAAAAAACUACAAAAUAAUUAAAUAAUGAAAAUAAUUAUAAAAAAUUAAAUAUACUUGUCAAGUUCAAGUAGGAAUUGGAUUAGUACUCACUGAUUUCAUUAGGUUGAAACCAGGACCUGGACCAGUCCUCAUGGGAAUUGCUAGUUUUGUACUAGUCUGGCUUGUUUUUGUGCCGUUUAGAUGAUUUCCGAUUUCUUAACACACCUCUAAUUGUGACUUUUAUAAAGUAUAUUGUAAAUACCUCACACUUAUGGCUACUUUAAAAUUUCAGCAGCCUUUGAUGACUUUCUAGGAAGCCACCGCAGCCAACAUUGAAGUGCUACAAUUUAUAAAAUAUGCAUUUCAUAACCACAAAAAGCCACGUCAUCUUAUACAUUUUUACCAAACUGGCUCUACUAAUUUUGAAAGGGGAAGACCAAGAACAGAGAGUCAACGUCAAGUCUUCGGGCAUUAAUCAUCGCCGACAAUACCUAAUCCACGGCAGGUGGUCCUGGUAAAGCAGACUAGAAAAACUCACUUUUUGCACGGAUAUUGUGAAAAAGCAGAAUAUAACACGUGUUUUUCUUUUUUAUCUUUUGUAUAAUUUAUUUUCGAUUUGCUUUUAAUCCGACUUUUAUAUGGAUAUUGUUAUGAAAUACAUGAAUGGAUAGAAUGCAUGAAUGAAUAUUCAUUAUAUUCAUCUUAUCCAAUGUAUUUAUUAUGGUACAUUUGUAUCAAAUGUUCUAAGUACAUCUCCCUAUACAAUGAACGUUCGUCUCCCUUAUCAUGUACAUGUAUCAUUCGAUACAUUGAUAUUAAUGAUAAGUACAUUCUUGUUCUCCUAUAAAUAGGAGUUUAGUUUUGAUGUACAAUAUACAAUCACACAGAAACACGACAGUGAGAUACUAGAAAUAAAGCUCUCUCAUCUUGCUACUAUCUCUAGUGUUCACUUUCUUUCUCUUCUUUAAUCUCUUCUCUAUUAUAUAUUCGCCACGUGAUAUUUUACAACACGUUAUCAGCACGAGGAUCUACCGAUUGAGUAAGUAACUUUUGCAAGAACGAAGAUCUACCGAUUCAGUAAGUAAAUUUUGCAAGGUGCGUAUUAUUUUUAUUAAUCAACUUAUACUUCAUUUUCUUCUAUCAAUUCUUCAUUUUUAUUUUUCUUGGCCCGAAGCCAAAAUUCAAAUCUAAAAGUAUCCUUCUGCUCCUGAAGUAGCGGUGGAUAUUUGGAAAUCCUUUUAAUUAAUUUAAGGAUUUAUUUUUGCAAGGAUUAUGACAAAUAUUGAAAAGCCCAAAUUCCACAUCCUGGAAGUGAGUGGAAAGAAUUAUCUAUCCUGGUGCCUUGACAUGGAAAUGCACCUCCAAGGGCAAGGUCUCGCUAAUACAAUUACAGAGGAUGGAACCUCAAAUGAAAAGGAUAAAGCAAAUGCGCUGAUUUUUAUUCGCCGUCAUUUGCAUGAGAGCCUGCAGACUCAAUAUUUAUCCGUUCGAGACCCGCAUAUCUUGUGGAGGAGGUUGAAUGAUAGGUAUGAUCAUACAAAAACUGUUAUCCUCCCUCAAGCACAAUAUGAUUGGCAAAAUCUCAGAUUGCAAGAUUUUAAAUCAGUGUCUGACUAUAAUUCUGCUUUAUUUGAUAUCGUUUCUCGGCUAGAGUUAUGCGGUAUCAAACUCACUGAUGCAGAAUUGCUUGAGAAAACUUUUUCCACCUUUCAUGCUUCAAAUAUUGUAUUGCAACAGCAAUACCGGCAACGUCAAUUUGCCACAUUCUGAAUUAAUUUCUGUGCUUCUUACUGCCGAGCAAACUAAUGAAUUACUGCUCAAAAAUCAUGAUCUUAAACCUGCUGGCUCAAAAGCAUUGCCUGAAGCACAUGCUAACUUUGAGAAAAAUACUAGCCAUUUUAAGGGCUAUAAGCGCAGGCAAGAACAUAAUCCUAGAAGGGAUGGCAAGAAAUUUAACCGCCCUAGGAAAUCAAACUUUGGCCUGAAUCAUGGCAAAGAAAAGAAGCAAAAGAAGGUGAUUAAUGAAAGUAUUUGUCAUCGCUGUGGCAUGACCGGGCACUAGUCACGUACCUGUCGUAAGCCAAAACAUUUUGUUGACCUAUACCAGGCAUCUUUAAAGAAUACGGGCAAGCGUGGUGAAUCUCAUGCCAUUGAAAUCAAUCCUACUGCCAUAACCACUGUUGAGGCCAACAAUAUCUCCGUUGAUGGGACUCCUCUUGCUCCUAAAGUAGCAAAUGCAUCAUUGGAUGUCUCUGAUUUCUUUGAGGACCUCUGAUUACUUUGAUGAAUCAUAUUGGUGGAUAAUAAUUUGAACUUUGAAAUUUAUGUUGUUUCACUUUAAAUGUAUUACUUUUUUUUAUUGUUCUUUAUGAAAUACUUAUGAACCUUAUAUAAUAUUUAUCUUUGAAAUUUUAUUCAACUAUAUAACUAAAAUGCAACUUUUAUGAUACUUGACACCUGAAGUUGUCAAUAUAAAUGCAAAUGGAAAAUACCGAGAAAAAGGAAGAUGUUUGUUUGCUUGAUAGAGCAACAACACAUACUAUAUUUUGUAGUAGACACUUUUUCUCGAGUAUGACAUUACGUAAGGCACAAAUCCAUACAAUAUCAGGUUCUGUUCCGAUUAUUGAUGGUUUUGGGAAUGCUGCAAUUAUUUUGCCAAAUGGCACAAUCCUGCAUAUUGAGAAUGCGUUUCUAAGCAUUCGAUCAAAAAGGAAUUUGCUCAAUUUCAAAGAUGUACGCCGUAAUUGGUACCAUAUUGAGACUAUUUAUGAGCAAGAUAAGAAAUAUAUUGUCAUUUCCUCUUAUAAGAUGGGCCUGAAGACCAUCCAUGAGAAGCUAGAAGCUUCUUCUAUGGGUUUGUAUUGUGUCAUGAUUAAAGCUGUUGAAACCUACGCUACCAUAUCCUGGAGAUUGGUAAGCCCUGAUUAGUUUGGACUAUGGCAUGAUCACCUUGGUCAUCCUGGCGCUUCAAUGAUGCGUAGGAUAAUUUAAAAUACAAAAGGGCACCCUUUAAAGGAUAUAAAGGUAUUGUUGUCCAAAGAUUAUAAUUGUGAGGCUUACUCACAAGGAAAGCUCAUUAUCAAACCUUCUAUAACAAAGGUUAAUUUUGAAUCUCCUUUAUUAUUGCAAAGAAUUCAGGGUGAUAUUUGUGGACCAAUACAACCACCAAGUGGACCAUUUUGAUAUUUUAUGGUAUUAGUGGACGCAUCCUGUAGAUGGUCCCAUGUUUGCCUAUUAUCUACGCGCAAUGUCGCAUUUGCACGUUUACUUGCGCAGAUUAUAAAGCUCCGGGCACAAUUCAUUGAUUAUCCAAUUAAGAGCAUAAGGAUGGAUAAUGCUGGUGAAUUUACAUCAAAGAGUUUUGAUACAUAUUGUGCUUCACUCGGAAUCGAGGUUGAGCACCCGGUUGCAUAUGUUCAUACUCAAAAUGGAUUGGCAGAAUCCUUGAUUAAACGUAUCCAAAUCAUUGCCCGCACUCUAUUAUUGAGAACGAAUCUCAACGAUACUGCAUGGGGUCAUGCAAUUUUGCAUGCGGCAGCUCUAAUAAGAUUACGCCCCACUGCUAGUAUUUUACAAUCUCCCCUUCAAAUGGUUCUUGGUUAUGAACCAGAUAUUUCACAUCUACGCACCUUUGGUUGUGCAGUACAGGUGCCUGUAGCACCGCCAAAAAGGACGAAAAUGGGUCCCCAACGCCGUUUGGGCAUUUAUGUUGGGUUUAAUUCACCAUCUAUCAUUAGGUUCUUGGAACCAACUACUGGUGAUCUUUUUACUGCCAAGUUUGCAGAUUGUCAUUUCGAUGAGACUAGGUUUCCAUCAAUUGGGAUACCUACAACUUCCAUGACUGCAAAACAAAAACCAGUUAAGGUUUUUUCCUGGAAUGAGAAAAAUUUAUCUCAAUUAGACCCAAGGACUCCUGAAUGUGAAAACGAGAUGCAGCGCAUAAUCCAUUUAUAGGCUAUGGCCAAUAGACUUCCUGACGCAUUUAAUGAUGCUAUUAAGGUAACGAAGUCUCAUAUUCCAGCUGCAAAUGCUCCAGCUAGGAUAGCUGUUCCCGAAGAACAGGCUAAAAUGGAUCAAAAUCCCCUGCACUUGAAGCGUGGUAGACCGAUAGGAUCAAAAGAUACUGCUCCUCGAAAACGAAGGGGAAAGAAUCAGGAAUCCGCUCCAAAAGAGCUUGGCGUUGUGCUUGCUCCCAAAGAGCUUAUUGCCCCUGAAGAGGCACAAACCCAUGAAAGAAGCACUAGCCCCGGGAAUACUGAGAAUUCCAUUACAUAUUGUAAUGAAAUUUGGGAUCGAAAUGAAAUCAUCAUUGAUGAUGCUUUUGCAUUCUCAGUUGCUCAUCAAAUUAUGGAUGAUGAUUGUGAACCACAAUCUAUUAUUGAAUGUCGUCAAAGGCAAGAUUGGCAUAAGUGGGAGGAAGCAAUUAAAGCUGAAUUAGCUUCCCUAACUAAACGAGAGGUUUUUGGACCUGUAACUCGUAUCCCUGAUAAUGUAAAGCCCGUUGGAUAUAAAUGGGUAUUUAUCCGAAAACGAAAUGAGAAAAACGAGGUUGUCAGGUAUAAAGCCCAACUCGUUGCCCAAGGAUUCUCCCAGAGACCUGGGAUUGAUUAUAAUGAGACAUAUUCACCUGUGAUGGAUAUGAUUACAUUUCGUUUUCUCAUUAGCCUAGCAAUCUUUGAAAGAUUGGAAAUGCGUCUUAUGGACGUUGUGACGGCAUAUCUAUAUGGCUCAUUAGACUUUGAUAUUUAUAUGAAAAUUCCUAAGGGAUUCAAAAUGCCUGAAGCAUGCACUCCCCGCAAUUUAUUUUCAAUAAAAUUGCAAAGAUCCUUGUACGGGUUAAAGCAAUCCGGUCGCAUGUGGUAUCAACGCCUAAGUGAGUACCUAAUUAAGGAAAUGUACAAAAAUGAUCAUAUCUGCCCAUGCGUGUUUAUUAAGAAAUCAGAAACUGGGUUUGCUAUUAUAGCAGUUUAUGUCGAUGAUACAAAUUUAAUUGGAACUCUAGAAGAGUUAGCUGAAACUGCUGAAUAUUUGAAAAGGGAGUUUGAAGUUAAAGAUUUGGGUAAAACCAAACUUUGUCUUGGUCUAGAGCUUGAGCAUAAAGCAAAUGGAAUAAUCGUCCAUCAAUCAGCAUAUGUUGAAAGAUUGCUUAAACGUUUCAACAUGGACAAAGCUCACCCAUUGAGCACCCCUAUGGUUGUAAGGUCUCUAGAUCCCCAAAAGGACCCAUUUCGUCCUAAAGAAUCUGAUGAAGAGAUACUUGGUCCUGAAGUACCAUAUCUCAAUGCAAUUGGGGCUUUGAUGUACUUGGCACAAUGUACGAGACUAGAUAUCGCUUUUGCGGUAAAUUUAUUGGCACGUUUUAGUUCUGAGCCAACUCGGAGACAUUGGAAUGGAGUUAAACAUAUUUUCCGUUAUCUCCGAGGAACCAUAGAUUUGGGAUUAUAUUAUUCCAAGGAUUCCACUAACUCUGGUUUAGUUAGAUAUGCUGAUGCUAGAUAUAGAUCCGAUCCACAUAAGGCUCGCUCUCAAACCGGGUAUUUAUUUUGUUAUAACGUCACCGCUAUUUCUUGGCGUUCUACGAAGCAAUCGCUAGUAGCUACAUCUUCUAACCACUCUGAGAUUAUUGCUUUAUAUGAAGCUGGAAGAGAGUGUGUUUGGUUAAGAUCCGUUAUAACACAUAUUCAUAAUUCUUGUUGCUUAAUACCGGUUACAAAUUCUCCCACUAUAAUUUAUGAAGAUAAUGCUGCUUGUGUUGCACAAGUCAGGGGAGGAUAUAUCAAAGGUGAUAGGACCAAGCAUAUCUCGCCGAAAUUUUUCUAUACUCAUGAACUCCAAGAAAGUCGACAAAUUGAUGUUAAACAGAUUCGAUCCAUAAAUAAUCUUGCAGAUCUUUUUAACAAAUCAUUGCCAACAUCAAGUUUUGAGAAAUUAGUAUAUGGCAUUGGUAUGAGGCGAGUUCAUAAGAUGUAAGAUUGAUUAGCCCCAGAAAUGGCUAUAUGGCUCAAUUGAGGGGGAGAUAUUAUGAAUUAUACAUUGCAGCAUUGAUAUGUGCUAGUUCACAAGAUGCAAUAAUGAUUAGCCCCAGGAGUGGCUAUAUAUGCAUUGCACUCUUUUUUCUUUAUGUCCGGUUUUUUCCCAUAGGGUUUUUCCAGCUUAAAGUUUUUAACGAGACAAUUAAUGCAUCCAUAAAAGGGAGAGAUCAUAACAUUUGUGCUCUGCACUCUUUUUCCCUUUUUGUCCGAUUUUUAUCCCACUGGGUUUUUCCGGCUUAAGGUUUUUAAUGAGGCAGUAUCAUUCAAUGCACAUUCGUAAUGAAUAUGAUGAAUAUUCAAGGGGGACUGUUAUGAAAUACAUGAAUUGAUAGAAUACAUGAAUGAAUAUUCAUUAUAUUCAUCUUAUUCAAUGUACUUAUUAUGGUACAUUUGUAUCAAAUGUUCUAAGUACAUCUCCCUAUACAAUGAACGUUCGUCUCCCUUAUCUUGUACAUGUAUCAUUCGAUACAUUGAUAUUAAUGAUAAGUACAUUCUUGUUCUCCUAUAAAUAGGAGUUUAGUUUUGAUGUACAAUAUACAAUCACAUAGAAACACGACAGUGAGAUACUAGAAAUAAAGCUCUCUCAUCUUGCUACUAUCUCUAGUGUUCACUUGCUUUCUCUUUUUUAAUCUCUUCUCUAUUAUAUAUUUGCCACGCGAUAUUUUACAACAGAUAUUUCCUUUUUACUUUCUCUUGUUCGUUAAAUUUUUGCAUCGAGUACAUAAAUACUGAUGUAUACCUGUAUUUUUCAAUCUUUUUUUCAUUUCAAAUUCUUCUCAUUUACCUUGCUUGAAAUUUUUUUUGCAACUUUACAGUGACUUUCUAAAUUUAUAUAUGUUAAUAUUUUUAUUUAGACUCUUUUAUAUUGUUGCAUCGAUUUCACUGGGAAAUUAUUUUGGUUAUGUCCUUACUUUUGUUAUCAAUGUAAGUAUAGUGUUAAUAAGGCUAUGAAAUUUUAGCAAAAUAAAAAGGUAAAGUGAAAGUUUAUAGAACCAUGGAGUUAUGAUUUUAAAAGGAGAAACAAUAAAUGCAAUUGGAUUUGUUUUGAAUAUUGAUUAUAGUAAAAAAUUUUGUGCUUCAAGUGGUAUUGAAUAAGAUUUGCCACACUCAACUUGAACUAUGGCCAAGUGAGAAACUUGAACCAGAUAAAGAAGCUUAGUAUCCCCAAAACUUUUUUUUUUUUUUAUCAGAGCAAUACAAGUAUUUUUUUCAAGGAGAAAUAUUAUACAAAUCAUUUAUUUUUUACGAAAUAAACAUAGUUUAAUUAGACUUAAAAAAUCAUAAUCAUCUUAUCCUAGGAUAAUUUCUUCUCUAUUAUAACACUAUGACCUUAAAAAUAAAAAUACAACUAUAAUAGUUCAAUAUCAAUGGACAUCCAUCCACAUCAUGCUCUCCAAAAGAGUGAUAUGAAUACUAAAUAAUAACGAUUUGAAUACUAAAUAAUAGAUAUUUUGAUAACUUGAAAAGGUUGAUAUGAAUGUCAUCCUAUUCCGUAAUAUAUCUUAUUAGUUCUACAAUUAUUCUACUUUUGCACGUUAAAUUGUAUUUUGGAUUCUUAUUAAAAAUUAUUCAAAUUGCACUUUUCCUUCCGUGUUAAUUUUUAUUUUUUCAUUUUUUUACAUAUUAGUUGGUGGCCUUUUUGUUAAUAGACAAAAGCCCAUCAAUAUCCUUUCCUGAUGUAACUCUGCCCAACUAGCUUGCUGCGUUGCCAAUUUUCCAAUUGAAGCGAUCCUUUGAUAUUUUAAUAUGCAUUAGCUUGAUAUUUUCACCAAUUAAUAUACAAAUCCUGAAAAAUAAAAUUUUAAUAGACAAAAAGCCCAUCAAUAUCCUUUCCUGAUGUAACUCUGCCCAACUAGCUUGCUGCGUUGCCAAUUUUCCAAUUGAAGCGAUCCUUUGAUAUUUUAAUAUGCAUUAGCUUGAUAUUUUCACCAAUUAAUAUAAAAAUCCUGAAAAUAAAAUUUUAUUUUCUAGAAAAAGACAAGUUGGACCUAAAUCAAUAAAGAAAAAGAUAUUAUUAUAAAUGUCAAUUCAUUUUUGGGCACUUGUAUGGUUUCGAAGGAUGAAACUCCAGAUUGCAAUUUAUUGAAAUUAUUUUUUCCAUUAUUUUUAUUUAAAAUAUUGUAACACAAAAAAAAUUAAAAUGGUUUGUGAUUAAUGGCGAGAUUUACUCUCUUUUCUCUCCAACCCCAUGAAAAAUUAGGGAUAUGCUUUCGAAGAAUCUUUAGAAACCCCUUGUUACAAUCCAAAAUGCAUAUGCCUAUUAUCCUUUUGAACAGUUUUGCUAUAGUAAUUUCAGCUGUUGAAAGGAGCAUUGCGACUUUUGUAAAUUUUUUGGUCAACACCUCACAGCUACAGCUAUGACUACUUUAAAAUUUCAGCAGCUUAUAAUAACUUUAUAGAAAUUAGGAAGCUACUACAAUUUAUAAAAUAUGCAUUUCAUAAACAAAAAAGCCACCUCAUUUUAUAACACACCAUAACUACGUUUGUACCUAUCUGGCUCUACUAAUUUUGAAAGAGAAAGCGCAAAAACAGAGAGUCAACAUCUAGUCUUCGGGUAUUAAUUAUUCCUGACUGGGCCUGGACCACGGAUUGCAAAAUGAAGCUGGCUCAUCGCAGUUUUGCGCGUCGGAUAAACAAGCUAGCAGAUUGGGUGGUAAAAGCCCCACGUCCAGAAUUGGCUAUUUCAUCCCCGGAACUUAUGUUGGAUAAUUAUAUCGGGUAAAAGUCACCUAUAACACAUUUAUUCUGAGCUUUUCUUUGUAACAAAAAAGGCUCCAAACUAAACUAAUGUGACGCAUUUACUCCAAACUUAUACAGUGUGACAUCUUUAUUUCAAAUUUAUUUUUUGUGACAGCAAAAAUCUCAAGCCUUUACUUGUGUGACGAAUUUAUCCAAAAAAUUUGGUGUCUCAGAAAAAAGUUCGGGAUUUUUGGCUUCAAAAAAAAAGUUUGGAGUAAAUAUGAUGCAUGAGUAAAAGUUUGGGAUUUUUUGUAUCACAGAAAAAAAAAUUGAGGUAAAUGUGUCACAGUGGGCAAAGUUUUGAGUUUUUGGCGUCAUAAAAAAUAAUUUAGAUUAAAUGUGUCAUUAUAAGCAAAGUUUGGGAUUUUUUGUAGUUUUUUCCCUUAUAUUUUCACAAACCUAGCUUAAGUUGAUAAAAUUUCUGUUUUUUAGACAAAAAUAUUUUUUGUUGCAGACUAGGAAAACCAACUCUUUGCUCAGGCAUUGAGAAAAAAACAGAAUAAAAUUAUUGUCCUUUUCUUGCAUCGUGCUUUUAUUAUUGUUCUCUUGUUCCUUAAAUUUAAGAGAAGAUAGCAUAAAUGAUCCACAAAUUUUUGUCUCGAUCUGCAAUGUUGUCCUUAAACUUUUAAUUUAUUCAAUAUAAUUCUCGAAUUGUUGGUAAGUAUUCAAUGCCGUCUUUAGGCUUGCUCAAAAGGCAAACCAAAUGUUAUUUUGAUGACGUAGAUUACUAUAUGUUGAGUUGAAUUUUUAGAAAUGAUGAUUCAAUCUAUCUAUCAUUUUACCCAUCUACUUUAAACAAGGAAAAAAUUUAAGCAUUAACACGUCCAUUGUUAUUUGAUGAUAUGGAUUAUUUUAUCCGAAUUAAGAUGAAUAUCUUAUGUGGAUAAUUCAUAAAUAACUUUUUUUUUUGCCCACCAUUCAAACCUAAAAGAUUGGAAGCUACAUCACUAUUCUAGGAAUUAGAUUGAAUACAUGUAGAUAGUUCAAGGAUCAUAUUGUAUAUUGAAACAAAAUUCAUAAACUAUUUAUGUCAUUUUUCUUUGAAUUUUUUAAUCAAGUGCAUAAAUAUUGCAAUGCACCUAUGUUUUUCAAUUUUUUUUUUCAUUUAAAUGAGUUUUAUUUGGAGAGAGUCCCGACAGGGCUCUCUGCUUCAUUUAUAAACACAGACAGGAUAUAAUAAAGUCAGCGGGGCACUUCCAAAAAGCUUCCAUUAGACCUUGAUUUUACUCAAAUUAUCUAAUAAAUGUUUUUGGAGGUAGAACUCACUGAUUUGUCAAACCCAUUAUGACUAAUCCCCGCCAUAUCUCAUUAAACAACAGUUUAGAUUAAAUAAAAUACAAGCUAGAAAUGAAAUAGUAUUUCUUUAUACUUCGGUUAAAAUAUUUUUACAACUUUGCCAUGAAUUUCCAAAUUUAGAUGGAUUGAUUUUUUCUAUUUAAAUUUUUUUAUAUCAUUGUAUUGACCCCAUUGACAAAAUGUUCUGGCUCUGUAUUUGCUUAAAAUCAAUAUAGAUAUACUGUUGAUAGGGUCAUAAGAUUUUAUCACAAUUAAAAGGUACAAGCUUACGCAAUCAUGACUGAGUAUUAAAAUUGUGAUGGAAUCAUGUUUUUAAAUGGAGAAACGAUAAAUGUAAAUUACAUAUUGUAUGUUGAUUUUAGCAAGAAAUUUUGUGCUUCAAGUAAUAUAAAAUAAAAUUUGCACUCUACUUGAACUAGGUACAUGGCCAAGUAAAAAACUUGAGCCAGAGAGAGAAGUUCAGUAUCUCCAUAGCUUCAUUUUCUUGAUCGAAAGUUUUGUGAACUAUGAUUCAGCUACAAUAAAUCACAUGUGACCCCAAACAUUUCUUGACAUUCAAAACUCGAUUAAAUCUAUUAGAGUUAGGUCUCUUCUCGUAUCACAAUUAAUACCGACAUCCUUUCAUCCUUGCUAGAAAAAGAGUUCAACCAAAAAAGGAAGUGUGGAAAUGUGGAAAUUGAAAGCUUAUGGCGUUGUUGAAUUUAUUGAGUUCCUUGCUAGAGAAGGAAAGAACAUUCCACGUGGAAUGAAUCGAUUCUAUCCUCAAAUUCAACCUUUUCAACGAAGUGGAAGAUAAACGAACAUCAAUUCUCGUGUUCUUGACAUUAAAUUUUAGUUUGAUAUAUGGGGAAAACAGUCAAAUUAAUCCAUCUUCUUUGCCCAAGAACUAGACAUAUUGCCAACAGAUGCUCUUUCAUAAACGUGAGCUGCAAUUGGGCCUACAAAAGUUAACAGUUCUUGCAAACCAGGCUGCUUUAUAAUCACCAAGGAUCAGCAAGGAAUGAACUUCUUUUGCAGCGCCUUCUCCGUCUUGUCUUUUUACGAUCGUUCUUCCUUAAGACGACUAGCGACACUUUUCAUUGUCACAAAUUAUAUCAACCGAUCCGGAUCUAGAGUUACCAUCUAAUGAUAUAACAGAGGACCCGUUACCAUAACGCUGAACUGCACAAGAACUAACCACUAGGACCUUAGGACUGAUCAAAGACUAUUCGAUUGCAUCGAUUAAACAUGUCCUAUUAAGUCCGGUGUACAUGCAACAUCUUGAAGCUGCAUCUUCUAAAGGAGAGACGGAUGUGCAUGUACGACAACUGCCGAUCAAAGACUAUUCGAUCCCACUGCUCUAUUUAGCGCGCGGCUUGUCGACAAUAAACAUUUUAUUAAUAUGGCAAACUGUCGAAGUCAUAACGCACAUCACAUUACUCACAUACAAACCCCUCGUAGAUCAAGCUCGGAAACAUUCACUCAGAAAAAAAAAGAGGAGAACGGCUUCAAACGAGUCAUAGAUAACGAGACUACUAUAAAGCAACUUUCAGGCUCUACGACAGACAUCACCAUCACAGACCCAUCCUUCUUUGGCAUCUCCUUCUUUCUUUGCCUCCUCCUCAGCUGCUUCAUUGUCUUCAUCUAACUCGUUUUCAGUUGCUUUCUCUUCUUUAACAGCACAUUUUGGGUGGAGAUCAAAGUCACACUCCUCGCAAUAAUAUGACCACCCCUCCCCCUCUUCAUCGCAGCCAUCACAAGUGUACCGUCUCCUCUGAGCCGGAACGAGCUCGUGCUCUUCAUGCAAAGGUUGCUUCAACUUCUCUGGCCAGCCUUUUAUACUUUCCUUGAACUUUUCCUCAAACUUCUUGAGAUGUUCGGCAGUAAAAGGAUAAGCAUCAGCCCCGUGGUCCAUUAUAAGAUCCCUUGCUUUGUUAGUCACCGUCCGGCCCGUUGGACCUAUGGCUACAAGCAUGGGGAUGCCCCGGACCUUGAAUUUGCGACUCAGGGAUUUCUUCCUCUCGUCACCAAAAGGGAGCGCCAGCCACGGCAUCUGAGCAAAAUAAUUAUCAAAGGCAGUUUGGUCCUUGUCACUGGAGAUGAAGAUAACCUCCAAGGCAUUGCCGGCGGCCUUGAUCUUUUCGUAUGCCUCAGUAAGCACCGGCAGGAAUGCACGGCAAGGAGGGCACCAGUGUGCCGAGAAGUACAGGAGGACAGUCUUCCCUACCAAGUCUGGUACUGGAAUCUGCAAUCGAAGUUAAGGAACAACCUUUUAGAUGAACCACCAAUUGAUGGAGAAGGCACGUGAAAACUACAUCUAUGUAAAGGAUUUUCCUAGCUAUAAACCUGGUUUCAAUCCUUUCCUCGAGUCAAGUAACCCGAGGGACAACUGUAUAUGGGGCCCCAGUGUAGACAUCAAAAAUUUCCCCAGUCAUUAGCUUCUAGGGAAAAAACAAAUUUACCUUGGUUCCAUCCUUUCCAAUGACAAAAUCCAGAUCCCCUGAAACCAAGAUCGACUCCAAGGUCUGAGAUUCUUCCCUUUUCUUCUCUAUCUCUGCAAGCUCUGCAAACUUUUCUGGAGUGAAGGGAUAAGCUGUGAUGCCAUGCUCUUCGACAGUUUCGGCAACGUUGGCAUGGACAGUCUUCCCAUCCUGACCGAUAAUGACCAGAGUGGGUAGGGUCGACAGCUUAAAGUACCUCACCAACUUCUCGCAUUUCUUGUCUUUGAAUGGUAAUGAAAGCCAUGGCAUGCUGCCAAAGGAUUGGUUGAAUGAUGCUUCAUCAUCAUCGAGAGGUAUCUGAACGAUCUCAAAACUCUCUCCUCUGGCCUUCAAUUUCUCAUAAACCUCCAGUAACUUAGGCGUGAAAUCGACGCAUGCCCUGUGCACGGACAACGAGAAGUACAGACCCACUGUUUUCNNNNNNNNNNNNNNNNNNNNNNNNNNNNNNNNNNNNNNNNNNNNNNNNNNNNNNNNNNNNNNNNNNNNNNNNNNNNNNNNNNNNNNNNNNNNNNNNNNNNAAUCAUAGCACAUGCGACCAUGAGUUUCAAAUGCAUCGAGAUCUUUUUAGGUUUACCUGAUUCCGAUUGACGAAACUACGAAGUUACGAGAUCCAUGGACCAAAAGAGAGGUCACUGAUUGAUUUAUCCUAGUAGCUUCUUCCUGGUCUUUCAACUCUUUGAUACGUUCUGGAGUGAAAGGGUGACCUUCCACUCCAUACUCACGGACAAUCGCAACUCCGCUAUCUGUUAAGACCGUACCUGUGCCAUCGAGAAUGACAAGGUGGGGUAUCCCCCUCA
rnacentral:lncRNA from 1 species